rnacentral:rRNA from 1 species
CCUGCGGUGCAUUAGCUAGUUGGUAAGGUAACGGCUUACCAAGGCAAUGAUGCAUAGCCGAGUUGAGAGACUGAUCGGCCACAUUGGGACUGAGACACGGCCCAAACUCCUACGGGAGGCAGCAGUAGGGAAUCUUCCACAAUGGACGCAAGUCUGAUGGAGCAACGCCGCGUGAGUGAAGAAGGGUUUCGGCUCGUAAAGCUCUGUUGGUAGUGAAGAAAGAUAGAGGUAGUAACUGGCCUUUAUUUGACGGUAAUUACCUAGAAAGUCACGGCUAACUACGUGCCAGCAGCCGCGGUAAUACGUAGGUGGCAAGCGUUGUCCGGAUUUAUUGGGCGUAAAGCGAGUGCAGGCGGUUCAAUAAGUCUGAUGUGAAAGCCUUCGGCUCAACCGGAGAAUUGCAUCAGAAACUGUUGAACUUGAGUGCAGAAGAGGAGAGUGGAACUCCAUGUGUAGCGGUGGAAUGCGUAGAUAUAUGGAAGAACACCAGUGGCGAAGGCGGCUCUCUGGUCUGCAACUGACGCUGAGGCUCGAAAGCAUGGGUAGCGAACAGGAUUAGAUACCCUGGUAGUCCAUGCCGUAAACGAUGAGUGCUAAGUGUUGGGAGGUUUCCGCCUCUCA